AUGCAACUUGUUUUUCUUCUGCUCUGUUUGUUUGUUAAACCAGCUUUUCUCCUGGAGAGCCAAAGGGCCAACUUGAUCUUCCAGAUUGGAGCACCGGUCAUGCCUGCUGGUCAGACCGUCCAAAUGUAUUGUAUGGGAUCAUUUGUUGUGAACAAAUACACCUGGUACCGUCUGAACCUGACCGCAUACACAGCUAUGAACAUUAACAGCAACUUUCUGACUCUACUUGUCACCAUUGAGGACUCUGGACAAUACGCGUGUUCAGGUUAUUACAAUGGAACAGUGUACUACAGUAAUGUAGUAAACCUGACUGUGGUAGAGAGACUCUCCAAUGUGUGGGUGUCAUCCACACCCAAGGACUUGGUCACCAUGGAGGGGCAGAGUGUCACCCUGUACUGUCAGGCCACCUCCCACCCCCCCUCUGUCAUCUGGAGCUGGAGCAGGUUGGACGAGCAGGGUGGGUGGCAGGAUGUGGGCAUCGGGCGAGAGCUGACCCUGAGCAUGGCAAAGGAGAGUGGGCAGUACAUUUGCCAGGCUUACAGCAAGAUCUUGGUCCUGACGCAGCAGCAACAAAGCCCCUCCCACACAGUCUAUAUCGUCUACUUCCCCAUGACUGGUAAUCUACUCAUCAAUCAUAACAUCCACAUUAGUAGAAAACUGAGCUGAUGACGAUAAUGUGUGGUAAUGGUAGUGUGAUAGUGACAAUGUACCAAAAGAAAAGAUAAUGUACUGGGAUGGUGCCUCUCACAUUACCAUGUCAUUAUUCUGUUUUUAUAACUUUGGAUUGCAUUUAUCAAUAGUUUUAUGUUGUCAAACCCUGCUGUUCAAUGUAUGUAUCAAUAUUUGAUGCACAGUAGUACUUUAUAGCAUAGGUUUGUAAAGUUUAAGAUUUUAGUGUAAGCCUGUGGCACAUCAAUGUCAAUACAGUUCAAUUGACUGUUCCUCCUCUCCCCUUAGGCAGUGUGUAUGCAGGAGUGGCAGGGUUGGUGCUGGUUCUCCUUGCCGGGGUCUUACUGACCUUGUUGCUGCUGUGGCUCUGGAGGCAGCGGGCCAAAGAGAGGGCCGGUCAAGAGACCUUGGCCACCAAUAGUGCACCGGCCAAAGGUGAGUGACACUGUCAAGUAUACUGCACUGUAUCAACAGUUCUGCCAAGUCUUCAGCUAUACUGCAGUUAUUAUUAUAACAUGUAGGCUACUGUAGUUACAGGAAGUAAUGUGUUGUUGUAAAUUAUCAAAAUAUAGGACUAUAGUAGGUUUCUGAAAAGCCUACAAUGUUCAUUCAGACAUUGUAAGUGUUGGUUUGAUUUACUGUGAUGUAUUUUCCAUGUACUUCCAGGAUUUACUGGACCUGCAAAAGCACCAAAGUAAGAGCAU
rnacentral:lncRNA from 8 species